UCAUUAGAUUCUCUUUCUUUUCAGAGGCUCUGGCCAGAGAAUGGCAUACCACCAGAGGUAAUCUAGGAUAGCGCAUUGAAGUUUCCGAACUUAAAAUUGAUUAGAAAUAGCAAGAUAUCCAAGGCGUCAUUAAAGAGAGCCUGCGGAGAGAGAUGCAGUACGUGCGAUGUCGUGACUACCUGAUCAACGCGGGUCACAUGACGUAGCUGCAUCAGCACCAGAAGUGUUCUUUGAGGGCUUUGGGAUGGAGAUUCAGGAGAUCGACUGGAAACCUCAGUGGAAGUGCAGUGACAUUAAGAAGAAAUCCACAGUCUUGUAACCAUUUGAAACGCCACACACUUGUUUACCCUUGCCAUAUAUUUACUUGUAGUAUCUUUUUCUCACUUUUGUGGACCCUGUCUGUGAAUGAGAUGCAAUCUGAAACGAUUUCAUUGCUUUAUUUCAUUGGUUAGCACAAUGUAAUUCUAUGAAUAAAAAGUAUUAUCGCAAUAGUACAGUUUAAAGCAUUACAUCCACCAGACAGUCAUUAUUAUAUGUCUGUGUCUCUUGGGGUAUCUUUUGUGUUCUUCUGCUCAUUUCUUGGCUAUAUCGCUGUGUAGUAAUCCUCUCUUAUGUAACACAUUGUUUUUCAGACUGAAUCCACCAUUUGUUUGUUGUGAAUGUGGAAGUAAUGUAAUCUUGUAUAUUGCUAUGUCUUUGUUAUUUCCUCAGUCUGCUGCUCAUCACUUAACUGGACAAACUGCUCUUCAAACCAGAACGUUAUCUGUUUAUGGCCUAAUCCAGGCCGAAAUUGGGCCACGCAAAAGCAAAUUGAUGUCUGAAACGUAGAAGGAAGAAAAUAUCGAGUUGUCGGAAUGUUCAACAUCCAGAUGUCGACAUGGUUGAGAUGCUUUGAUGGGGUUCUAUAAGAACUGUCCAUAAACAAUUGACCUUUACACAUAAAAACGCUGAAUCAAUGUUGUAAACACACUUGGGCCAAAUUUUGUUUUCGCUUGAGAUUAUUUGUUACACAGAUUAGUGUACACACACCUUAUGAUUAGUUUUCAGGCCCUAAUAAUUAAGAACAUAGACUCAAAGGAAAGUGAACUUUCUUUUCCCAUGACUGUAUAUGGUCCUUGCUUUUUAUAACACUAAAUGACAAAUGUUUUGAGAUUUGUAAUCCAUCACUCUAAACACAAAGAUAAAUAAGAUCAAAUAACCUGACCAGACUGGAUUCUGUCAUAGUGGAAAAUGUAC